rnacentral:rRNA from 1 species
CCUACGGGAGGCAGCAGUGGGGAAUAUUGGGCAAUGGGGGAAACCCUGACCCAGCAACGCCGCGUGGAGGAAGAAGGUCUUCGGAUCGUAAACUCCUGUCCUAAGAGACGAGCAGGAGACGGUAUCUUAGGAGGAAGCCCCGGCUAACUACGUGCCAGCAGCCGCGGUAAU